rnacentral:lncRNA from 1 species
UUGAAUCCGCCUUUUUAGAGGGUUGCUUCAGAGGUUUUUCCUCUGAUUCAUCAGUAGGGCCACUUUCCUUCUGGGACACAUCCGUUGCCAUUGGUGCCCUUUCCUCAUUGGAGAUCCUAGCAGGUGCCUUUUCCUCAUUGGAGAUCCCAGCAGGUGCCUUUUCCUCAUUGGAAAUCCUGGCAGGCCCCUUUCUAGCAGAACGUUUGUUUGGUUUAGUUUCCGAGUCACUUGUUCCUUCAGAUGCCUUUCUAGGAACAUCUUCAGCAGAUGGCUCCA